rnacentral:rRNA from 1 species
CUAAGUUUGAUGGCGACCGGCGCACGGGUGAGUAACACGUAUCCAACCUGCCGAUGACUCGGGGAUAGCCUUUCGAAAGAAAGAUUAAUACCCGAUGGCAUAGUUCUUCCGCAUGGUGGAACUAUUAAAGAAUUUCGGUCAUCGAUGGGGAUGCGUUCCAUUAGGUUGUUGGCGGGGUAACGGCCCACCAAGCCUUCGAUGGAUAGGGGUUCUGAGAGGAAGGUCCCCCACAUUGGUACUGAGACACGGUCCAAACUCCUACGGGAGGCAGCAUG